UAAGGAGCCAUGCCUAAUCUCC
rnacentral:piRNA from 1 species